AGUGAACGCUGGCGGCGUGCCUAAUACAUGCAAGUCGAACGGAGUGGCGCACGGGUGAGUAAUAUAUAGCUAAUCUGCCCUUGCUGGAGGACAACAGUUAGAAAUGACUGCUAAUACUCAAUAGCAAGGGAUGAGACUAUAUCGUAUCAGCUAGUCGGUUGGGUAACGGCCGACCGAGGCUAUGACGCGUCACUGGUCUGAGAUGAUGAUCAGUCACAUUCGAACCGAGAUCCCGUCCAGACGCCUACGGGAUGUGGCAGUAGUGAAUAUAGCUCACAGGGGGAGACCUUGACUCAGGAACGUGGCGUGGAGGAUGACACUUAUCGGAGCGUUAACUACUUUUGAUAGCUAGGCGGUACUUAACGAAUAAGGACCGGCUAACUCCGGGCCAGCGGCCGCGGUAAUAC
rnacentral:rRNA from 1 species